rnacentral:sRNA from 1 species
GCUGGGGCGCAAUGGCUUACGCCUGUAAUCCCAGCGACUUGGGAGGCUGAGACAGGAGGAUUGUGAGUUCAGAGUCAGCCUCAGCAAAAGCAAGAUGCUAAGCAACUCAGUGAGACCCUGUCUCUA